rnacentral:rRNA from 1 species
UACGUAGGGUGCGAGCGUUAAUCGGAAUUACUGGGCGUAAAGGGUGCGCAGGCGGUUAUAUAAGACAGAUGUGAAAUCCCCGGGCUCAACCUGGGAACUGCGUUUGUGACUGUAUGACUAGAGUACGGUAGAGAGGGGUGGAAUUCCUGGUGUAGCAGUGAAAUGCGUAGAUAUCAGGAGGAAUACCUAUGGCGAAAGCAGGUAUCUGGGCCAUCACUGACGCUGAGCUGCGAAAGCUAGGGGAGCAAACAGG